UGGAAACUCAGGAGAACUUUCAGGACCCUUGCAGGGAAGGGGCGGGGCGGGGGCACGCAGGCUGCUGAGCUUGUAGGACUGCAGGCGGGGGAGGCUCGAGGAAAUUCCGGAGGCUCGACCUAUGCUUCCGCUCUGCAUGCUGGGUCUUUCAAUCCUACCCGGACUACUUGCUUGGAGGGCUGCAGGCACGUCUGUUGACU
rnacentral:lncRNA from 1 species